rnacentral:rRNA from 1 species
GUCGACUUGGAGGUUGUUUCCAAGAGAAGUGACUUCCGAAGCUAACGCAUUAAGUCGACCGCCUGGGGAGUACGGCCGCAAGGCUAAAACUCAAAUGAAUUGACGGGGGCCCGCACAAGCGGUGGAGCAUGUGGUUUAAUUCGAUGCAACGCGAAAAACCUUACCUGGUCUUGACAUCCAUAAAAUUUUUUAGAAAUAAAAAAGUGCCUUCGGGAAUUAUGAGACAGGUGCUGCAUGGCUGUCGUCAGCUCGUGUUGUGAAAUGUUGGGUUAAGUCCCGCAACGAGCGCAACCCUUAUCCCCUGUUGCCAGCGGUUCGGCCGGGAACUCAGAGGAGACUGCCGGUUAUAAACCGGAGGAAGGUGGGGACGACGUCAAGUCAUCAUGGCCCUUACGACCAGGGCUACACACGUGCUACAAUGGUUUAUACAAAGAGAAGCAAAUCUGUAAAGACAAGCAAACCUCAUAAAGUAAAUCGUAGUCCGGACUGGAGUCUGCAACUCGACUCCACGAAGUCGGAAUCGCUAGUAAUCGUGGAUCAGAAUGCCACGGUGAAUACGUUCCCGGGCCUUGUACACACCGCCCGUCACACCAUGGGAGUGGGUUGCAAAAGAAGCAGGUAUCCUAACCCUUAAAAGGAAGGCGCCUACCACUUUGUGAUUCAUGACUGGGGUGAAGUCGUAACAAGGUAACCGUAGGGGAACCUGC